UUUGAGGGUUUGAUGGGUAUGGGGUGUAAGAAAGUGAGGGUUUCAUAUUGUUUCCUUUUUUUAUGCCCUUGAACUGACUCCUUUGCUGUAAAAAAAACUAACUUAACCUAACUUAGUCUAAUAACCUCAACUAUUAUUAGGGGAUGGGUUAAGGAAGGAAGGGGUUGAUGGGAUAGGUUAAGGAAGGAAGGGGGAAUGGAAUAUUAUAGUGUGUUUGGCUCGUUCUUUUUCACUUUCUUUUUCUUUCUCUUUCUUUUGUUCGUUCUUCCUUCUUUUCUUCAUAUUUCAUUUUCUUCUAGUUUGAUGGGUAUGGAAUAAGAAAGUGAGGGUUUUAUAUUGUUUUUUUUUUAUGCCCUUGAACUGACUCCUUUGCUGUAAUAAAAAUAAAAAUAAAAACUUAACCUAACUUAGUCUAAUAACCUCAAUUAUUAUUAAGGGAUGGGUUAAGGAAGGAAGGGGUUGAUGGGAUAGGUUAAGGAAGGAAGGGGGAAUGGAAUAUUAUAUGUGUGUUUGGCUCGUUCUUUUUCACUUUCUUUUUCUUUUUUCUUUUGUUCGUUAUUCCUAUGGGGUCGGUAAGGAAGUGAGGGUUUAAGAGAUGGGUUAAAGAAGGAAGGGGUUGAUGGGAUAGGUUAAGGAAGGAAGGGGGAAUGGAAUAUUAUAUGUGUGUUUGGCUCGUUCUUUUUCACUUUCUUUUUCUUUUUUUCUUUUGUUCGUUAUUCCUAUGGGGUAGGUAAGGAAGUGAGGGUUUUAGAGAUGGGUUAAGGAAGGAAGGGGUUGAUGGGAUAGGUUAAGGAAGGAAAGGGGAAUGGUAUAUUUUAGUGUGUUUGGCUCGUUCUCUUUCACUUUCUUUUCCUUUUUUUCUUUUGUUCCUAUGGGGUAGGUAAGGAAGUGAGGGUUUAAGGGAUGGGUUAAGGAAGGAAGGGGUUGAUGGGAUAGGUUAAGGAAGGAAGGGGGAAUGGAAUAUUAUAUGUGUGUUUGGCUCGUUCUUUUCCACUUUCUUUUUCUUUCUCUUUUGUUCAUUCUUCCUUCUUUUCUUUAUAUUUCAUUUUCUUCUACUCUUUCUCAUUCCUUUUUCUUUAUUUCCACCUUUCCUCCCUUGUUCUGUGUUUUCUUUUUACUAUCUUAUUUCCUUUCUUUCCUUCCAUCACUUUUUCUCCUUAAUGUAUAUUUUUUAAGGUGCAUGAAUUGGGAAUGGAUAGAUAGUGCAAGUUUUAAUUAAAGUGAUAUGUGUUUAGGGAAAGGAAGAGUAAAGAAUAUGAGGUGGAGGAAGGACCGUAGAGCAAAGAAUAAAUGGAAUAGAGUUGAAGGUAGAUGAGGAAAGGUGUGAUGGAUGAUUGGACUAAUCAUGAAACAAGGUGGCAGGGACCGUAGAGUUAACACAGUUGCUAGGUAAGGAUUUCAAGUAGAGAGAGGUUUCUACGUUAAGGCAUUGAAGGAAAGUAAAGGGAGAAGUAAAAAGCUAGAGGUUUGAUGGUAUAGAAGCGUGUAAAUGCAAGUUAAAUUCAUAUAGCCUAUCUGUAAAGUUGUCCAAUAAGCUACACUUUCUUUUUAUUUAAACUUACAUCGGCUAGAGAAUAAGAAAAAACGGAAAAAAGGGAAACAAAAACAAACAAUAAACACAUAAACA